rnacentral:rRNA from 1 species
GACGAACGCUGGCGGCGUGCUUAACACAUGCAAGUCGAACGGAAAGGCCCUGCUUUUGUGGGGUGCUCGAGUGGCGAACGGGUGAGUAACACGUGAGUAACCUGCCCUUGACUUUGGGAUAACUUCAGGAAACUGGGGCUAAUACCGGAUAGGAGCUCCUGCUGCAUGGUGGGGGUUGGAAAGUUUCGGCGGUUGGGGAUGGACUCGCGGCUUAUCAGCUUGUUGGUGGGGUAGUGGCUUACCAAGGCUUUGACGGGUAGCCGGCCUGAGAGGGUGACCGGCCACAUUGGGACUGAGAUACGGCCCAGACUCCUACGGGAGGCAGCAGUGGGGAAUAUUGCACAAUGGGCGGAAGCCUGAUGCAGCAACGCCGCGUGCGGGAUGACGGCCUUCGGGUUGUAAACCGCUGUCGCCGGUGACGAAGCGUGAGUGACGGUAAUGUGUAAAGAAGCACCGGCUAACUACGUG